CUUCAUGCAACUAUUUGUCUUCAUCCCUUUACCAAAUGACAAUGCAUCCCUUUAUAAAAACGCUGGCGGAAAUGUGCAGCACGGAGGGGAACGUGAACUUGGUGGACUUCAUGCACAGCGAUUUCUCGUCCUUUUGGAGUGCACGAUGACCACUGAGCACGCGCGGUGCUUUGCAGAACCCAGUGUUGUGAGUCUUGCCUAUGAGAGACUUUUCCGUCAGCCUUUGGACUCCUACAGAGGGGAACGGCCAUGACUGCCAGUCAGCGGACGGCCAGUGGACGGGACGGACCCGUCGGCGCAGGUGUCACCUAAGAUCCUGCCGGACAUCAGAUAGAGAGCGGACACUGCAGCCUCUUCGACGAGCAGUAAGACAGGAAGUCCAUCAUCAAGCCAGGUGUCAAACUGUUUAAGACCCGCCCCAAUAAAUGCCUUAAAGACACAGUACACUACAUCUUUAUGUAGAGGAAACUGCAGCAGGAGACUUCUUAAAAAAGCUUGACAUGUUUUCAUUUUUCUCUUUACGAGUGAAUCAGUGUCUUGCAAGAACAGAUGUGAAUAUUUUCUUAUAAUAGAGAAAUAUUUGUUUGGGUGUAAUAUUGCCACUUGUUUUUUUGUUUUUUUUGGUUUUUGUGGUAGGCCUGGUGAAAGCUGUUAAAUAUAAGUGAAGGGAAAGUCUACUGUCUGUCUGUGGCAGCCUCUUCCAUCUAGUUUUAUCUCUUUUCAUUUCUUAAACCAAAAGACUGCCAGCUGGAAUGGAGAAAUUCAGCGGCAGUGCUCAAUGAUGUCAGUCUGGACGGGUCACACAUAUACAGUAUGAAUGCAGGGUCAAAUCACAUUCCCCUUAGCACCAGACUCAUUGCUUUUGCUCAAAGCUUCAACAAUCAAGAACAAUCUACUUUUAGAAUAGAAGAGUUGUGUCUCUCGUCAAAACACACACCUAUUUUAAGGGACGGUUCAGCCCAAAUAAAUAUGCAGAUCAUUUACUCGCCCUCAUCAUGUUAUUCCAAAUUCAUAUGACUUCCCUUUUUCUAAAAAUUAGAUUACUGCUUUUUGCCCAUACAGUGCAAGUCAGUAUGUUUGCAUGGACUCAAAUAAUACAUUUUUAAUGUGAAAUGAAAUUUCAGUUAGACUUCAAGAGAUAGUGUACACCUAAAAUAAAUGAACACAAAAAGCACAUAAACAUUUGAAAAAUACAUUUUAAGUCAUUGUUUACAUAUGGUGUACAUCUUGUAAUUGUGCAUAUGUUAAAGUGUCACGUCUUCCUGGUCAAUGGAGGAGACGAGGAGUUAAUUUGCAAAAACUAUUUUAUUUUAUUUAUUUUAUUUUAUUUAUUUAUAUUUAUAUUUAUAAUUACAACUAACACAAUAAAACUCGAUAGCAUAAUAAAAAAUCAUGAUUUUUGAACAUUUUUAGUUAUAUUCAUAUUUUUAGCUGUUUUGCAAAUAAGCUCUUUGUAUACUAUAUAUUUGCUAAAAAAGCUCUUCUGACAUAUGUCUACUUGUUUCAAUGUCUGAGCUGGAUAUCAAAAUUUAGAGUUCAUAUAAAUUCAUUUAGCAUCUCAAAUCUGACUGAAAUGAUUUCAUUUGCUUCACAGAAGAAAGUAAGUCAUUUAGGUUUGGAGCAACAUGAGGCUGACUAAAUGAUAAAACUUUCAUUUUUAUGUAAACAAUCCCUUGACAACCCAGAGGCGUAAAACAUCACUAAUAGCCUUUUGAAUAAUAGACCUGUUUGGUGGCCUUGAUGGUCUCUAAGGUGCAGAUAAACGAUGAAAGUUGAAAUGUGGGUGCCAUCAGGUUUGGUGGACAGCUGGUUAUUCAUUUGAGUUGGUGCAUUACUGGACUGAUGCCCAGCGCUCAGAUGGUGAGCCGAGUCUGCUUCUCUCUGCCUGCAUCCACUUUAAAUAUCAGAGUUUGGUAUAUAAAUAUUAACGAUCAGUUCAUCGCAACCAGAAUAACACUACUCUGCUGUUGUGAACUGGGAAUUCUGGUAUUGCGGUUCAAUUCUCCCCUUUUGCGAUACCCUCUAUAAAUAGUGCCCUCAAACAGAAGACUGCAAAUUACAGUGCCACACACCGACAGCAUGACAAUAAAGCCACAUAUAAACAGAUCUGCAAGUCAUAUUCCCAGUUAACUAACACUCUCUCUCUCUCUCUCUCUCUCUCUCUCUGUUGGGAGACACAGCAACAGAAAGAGACGACGAUACUCUCUCUGAAAUGACUGCCCCGCAAUCCUCCCUGUCUCUGUCUCUCUUUUCAUCUCCCACUCCUUUCUCGUUCUUUGUCUUCUGCUUUCCCUCCUUGCCUAUCUGACAUGCAACCAGGCAUGCAGACUUAUGCACACAGUUGUCUUCUCUUUCUCUGUCCCUCUCUUUCUUUCUGUCUGUCUGUCCUGUCGGAACUACUCCGAAUAGACGACGUGUCAGAAUUUUAGGAUAAACGUGUUCUGAUCUUAUAGCAUAUAAACACAAACAAUUUCUAGAAUGAACCAGCUGCUUCGUUGUCAUGGAAAUACAUUCAAGUAAUCUGUAUGCAAAGUUCUAUGGAAGUGUACUAUCUAUUUUUUUAAAUCUAGCCUUGAAUAUUAUAUAACCAAAGUCGAACCCUGAAAAUCUAUCUAUGUUCUAUGUUUGGACCUCUUUUUAUUUCUUGAAGAGAUUUAGACCUAGUAAAAAUAGAUGCACAUGAAACACAACGUAUGUACAUAAGCAGAUGUCUAUUUUAUUGUGUCCUCAAGGUCACACGUCAUUUUAGGCAGAUCUACUUUUUGACUGUUAGCCUUCUCGAGUCCCGGGCCCUGUUUUUUCUCUCCUUCUUCUUAAUUCCCAAUGGUUUUGUGCACCUCAUGGAAGCCGUUCCUGCCGGUUGCAGACUCUCUCUCCUCAGCUCUCUCUUUUUUUAGCGUGUGUGUUAGUUAGUUGACUGGACUCUCUAGCAGAGGACCACUUGCUGAGUGCUUUUCAUAAACUGAAGCCGAGAUCAUCAGGUGGAUCAGCGCCAUGAAGCAACUAAACAUGGAGCAUUGCGUCGCGUCACAUGUUGUAGAUCUGCAUGUGACUUUGAUAUGUAAAUAUGUGUUAGUGCUAUUAUGAUGUCACCACGACAUGUCGCUCUGUGCUCGAUGCAGUGGAUCGGAAUGGUUUACAUUGGAGAACAAAAGAAUUCCUUAACAUCCACGAUGCGAUGCGCAUGGCUCUUUCAUUACACACUGAGUCAACAGCCAAGAAUUACCAGCCAACCGUGAGGAGACUUUGUUACCAUGGAGAUGCUCUGCCAGUGCUGACUGGUCAGCUGGCUUUGGAGGAAAAGGAAGCUUUGCCCUGUGAAAAAAAACCAGGAGAAUUACCUGCUAAACGAGAUAGACCAUAUCAGCACAUCCUCUCAUUGAUUCGAUCGAUUAUUUUGUUCAUAUUCAACUUGCUGCGAUUAAACAGUGACUGAUUUACACAGGAAUAUGCAAUGCUACGAAGAGAAAUCUAUUAGAUGCACAGAUACACAGUAUUACCAUUCUGAAUUCUGUUUGACUGUUAGGGGUGCACUGAGAUAAAGUCAUACCAAUAAUUGUUUUUUAUAUGUCAAGGCUUAUAGAAAAUAAAUGGCUCAUAUUAAAAUUCACUGCUUUUUUCUCUUUAUACAUUUUAAAACUAAAAACUAAAAUGUUUUUUAGGUGGUGCGAGUGAAUUUAGGCCUCACAAAAUGGUAACGUAGAGAAUAUUCAUUUUAAGAUUUGCUAAAAGUGACGUUUAGCAGUGAUAUUGAAUUAGUGUUUUUCAAAACUUCAAGCGAGAGUUAGAUGGUGGAAACAAGCAUGCACAAAUAUAGGUUCAAUAUCACCCAAUGUCUCGCAGAGUUUAGCUCAAGCUUGUCCCGGCAAACCUAGCUGGGAGAUUCUAGCAAUCCUAAAAGUCUUGAUUACUUUGUUUCAGGUGUGAUUAACUGGGGUUGGAACUAAGCUCUGCAGGACAGUGGCCUUCUAGGAGCGGGAUUCGAACACCCUGAUCCAAUUUAUAAAUUAAAAGGCUACUAAUAUUGACCAAUAUGUUGUGCAUCACUAUUUGAUUGCAAAACAGCCAGAAUCCCUGCUACUGUGUGAGAGAUACUGAGACAAAAUGAGGAGGAUUCCUUAGAAAUGCAACUUAAAAUAUAGCAAUCAUAGAACAUCUGAAACUUUAGUACACCAAUGUGAUAUUUGAUGUACCGUAUGAAUAAUAAUAAUAAUAUAUAUAUAUAUAAAAAUCUUGUGGCUUUCAUUUCAGCAUGGAAUAUAUUGUACUCUGUGUACAAGUGACUGUCUGCUCAUUGUUAAUGGAUUUCAGUGAGCUUACAUAAGUUCUUGAGAAUCAUUAGGCAUUUUUUUCACUUUUGUAAUGGACAGAGUUACCUGUGUAACGCUUGGCUGCUCACCCUCGUCUCCACACAGUAACAAAACCGCAGGAGAACAUUGCUGACUGGAAGAGAUCUCUCAAUAACCAGAUCCCCUUACUUCUAGUGUCCGUCCUACAGCAGUGAAUGCAGCUACAGGUCACUUACACAAAAUCAGGCAAUCGCACGUCAGAAAUAUGAAUCUAAUAUCAGAUCAUUUUGGUAAUCACAGGUGUGUAUUUCCGCUUCGAUGAGAGGUGUGUUGGUGUGUGUUGGGUCAGCUUUUGUGCCUCCUAACAAGCAUGCAGAGGGAGAUGCGCUCGGUGAGUCUGUGUUCUUUUGAUGAACAAUCCUGACGGCAGGAAAGUGUAUAGAAUCACCCCCCCCCCUCAAAGAAGUAAAUAAAUAAGCAGAUGUUCCUCUAUUCAUGUGAGUUUUGGAUGGGCUUGCCCUUUCUUUCUGCAUGAUGCUUUGGUUUUGAAAACUUGCAUCCUGAUUGACGAUGUAUUUGUGUUAUUUAUUUAUUUGUUUUUUUGUUUGUUUGUUUGUUUUUUUUGUAUAUUGGAGACCCUGUAUCAUUUCUUUCUUUCUUUCUGUUUCUUUUUUCGGGGGUUAUUUCAUCAAUCUUCUGGAUUUUUCUACAUGCAUAUCAUUUUGUAGGCAGCAAUAUGAGAUGUGAUGGAAAUGAAAUUAUGUGCAAUGUUGAAAAUUAAAAACAAAACAAACAUAAUAUAUUAAAUAAAAACAAAGAAGGCCAUUUUU